GCCAGAGGCCAGAGUUAAGGUGGAGACUUUCUCGGUGUCUUUUGCUUAUUGACUCUGGAACACUUUCCGCCGCAAUUUAGUUACCCUGUAGCUUUUACAGAACUCCAGUGCAAACAGAUGCUGUUGCGGCGCAGGCGUGAAGGGGCCCAGAGAAGAGGCGAAAUAUGCCCUGCUGGCUGUCGGCAUGGGACAGCACAAAUAAACACGCCGCCUGCUUGUCCUACCCCAGCGGCCCCGGGAGAAGCGGGGAGCGGGGGCAGAAGCUACACCCCCCCCACACCGCAACAAGCCUGUCAAGCACGCAACACGCGGGGGACAGGGAGCCCCGAGUCCCUUCCCCGCGAGUGGAGGCUGUGGUCCGUGCAGUGGCAGCGAGGUGAAGAACUUUGAAGGCUUUGUAGGAAAUUAAAGAGAAAGAUGCGCGGGGGAAUGAGGCCUAGACAAGAUGGAACAGAUUGUUUAGCACAUAUUUCAAGGGACCGUGCAAGGUGAAGUGACAUUUGACCGUCUGACAUGUGAGAGAUAAGAUGCCUCAAGAUCCACCAGGCUUGGGGUGAACACCACAACAAAUCCCUUGGGCGCAGGCAAAAACACACGCAUGCGCGCCCUCUCCCCCCAUUGGAAUGAUUGGUGAGGAACUCUAUGAAGUGAACCUUGCCGAGAUUAUCUCUCAGAUUUUUCUAUGGGAAGAGAUGAACUGAGUCAGGAAAUCUUAAGCUAAAUUCACAAGUGACUCUAAGUUAUAUGACCUACAUGCUCUUCUGGACAUCUUUAGUGUGUAAAUUAUACCAACUUUGAUUCCCACUUACCAGCAUGUAACUUAUACCCCUUUAUAUAUUACUUCUGAAUUUGGCCUAAAGAGUUUAACUGAACUAAAUUGAUGUAACUUACCCAGAGAGAGGCCGGAAGAGAGGAGGUGUAGCCUAAAAUGCAAUUAACAAGAGGAUAUAAGAUGUUAAUUUACACUUUCUGGCACCAUCUUAAACUUCCUUUGACACCUUUACACCCACUUGCAGACAUGUAAUUUACACCUCCUCUCAUUUAACCUCCAAAUAUGACUUUCUAGGGGACAUCCUGACUCCAUUGACGUCAAUGGCAAAAUUCCUGUGGACUUCAACAGGGGCAGGAUUUCAUCCUUUGCCUUUAAUUGUACCCAUUAAACAGUACAAAAUAAUAUUACAAAUAUUGAUUAGCUUGGAGGGCAAUAGUAGUAAAAUAAUUCUCAGGAUUGUGAAAUAUGGUAAAAUUGAAUGAAUUAUUUUAAAUUAAGGGCUAUAUUUUUAGAAAAUUAAUAAAAUCUGGGGAUAUAGCUACUCGUUGUUUUACUAUCACCUUUGCUUUCUAUUCACUACAGUCUUUGUAUCCAUAAGAGUGUAAAUGCAUAAAGAUCCAUACACAGAAAAAAAACCCUGUAUGUGCUGAUAUUCUUGAUGCCUGAGGAGUUCAGUGCAUAAAAAUGGUUCAUGCUGA